rnacentral:rRNA from 1 species
AUUUUCUGCCACCGAAUACAUUAGCAUGGGAUAAUGGAAUAGGACCCUGUCCUCCUAUUUUCAGUUGGUUUUGGCAGCGCGAGGACUAGGGUAAUGAUUAAUAGGGAUAGUUGGGGGCAUUAAUAUUUAAUUGUCAGAGGUGAAAUUCUUGGAUUUAUGAAAGAUUAACUUCUGCGAAAGCAUCUGCCAAGGAUGUUUUCAUUAAUCAAGAACGAAAGUUAGGGGAUCGAAGACGAUCAGAUACCGUCGUAGUCUUAACCAUAAACGAUGCCGACCAGCGAUUAGGAGACGUUGAAUACAAAACACCACCAUCGGCGCGGUCGUCCUUGGCGUCGGUCUUUCGGGGSCGGSGCGSGGACGGCUUAKMCCGGKGGSRCCSGUGAAUGASUCCCCUAKC